rnacentral:rRNA from 1 species
GACGAACGCUGGCGGCGUGCCUAAUACAUGCAAGUCGAACGCACAGUUUAUACCGUAGCUUGCUACACCAUAGACUGUGAGUUGCGAACGGGUGAGUAACGCGUAGGUAACCUGCCUGGUAGCGGGGGAUAACUAUUGGAAACGAUAGCUAAUACCGCAUAAUAUUAAUUAUUGCAUGAUAAUUAAUUGAAAGGUGCAAUUGCACCACUACCAGAUGGACCUGCGUUGUAUUAGCUAGUAGGUGAGGUAACGGCUCACCUAGGCGACGAUACAUAGCCGACCUGAGAGGGUGAUCGGCCACACUGGGACUGAGACAAGGCCCAGACUCCUACGGGAGGCAGCAGUAGGGAAACUUCGGCAAUGGACGAAAGGCUGACCGAGCAACGCCGCGUGAGUGAAGAAGGGUUUCGGAUCGUAAAGCUCGGUUGUAAGAGAAGAACGGGUGUGAGAGUGGAAAGUUCACACUGUGACGGUAGCUUACCAGAAAGGGACGGCUAACUACGUG